rnacentral:rRNA from 1 species
UACGUAGGGGGCAAGCGUUGUCCGGAAUUAUUGGGCGUAAAGCGCGCGCAGGCGGGUUGUUAAGUCGGGGGUGAAAGCCCUGGGCUCAACCGCGGAGCUGCCUCCGAUACUGGCAGUCUAGAGGUCUGGAGAGGUGAGUGGAAUUCCGGGUGUAGAGGUGAAAUGCGUAGAGAUUGGGAGGAACACCAGUGGCGAAGGCGGCUCACUGGCCAGAUACUGACGCUGAGGUGCGAAAGCGUGGGGAGCAAACAGG